CCAGGCCCUGAUAGGGGAGAGGUGCUUAGAGGUGGCAAAACCAUGAGCUGCGAGCAUCCUUAGUCAGCUCCUCCGCCCUGCCCCGUCUUUGCCGCAGCUCUCUGCUGUGCUCCUGAGCUCGGUCAAAGCUCCCUCUCACCCCACAGCUCCCCAGACACUGUGCCCUGCGGUCUCGCCCUCUGCUCUCUCCUCCCACCCAAGCUGCUGAUCCUCAAGGAUGAGUCUCCCCCAGAUAUCCUAGGCUCCAAGGGCCCGGGCACUGACACUUGGGAAGACCCAUGCUGCAGCCAACGUCUAAGGUUUGCCCAGAGCCGCCAAGCAGCCUGUUGCGGAUGCAGGGGGAGUGUGACCCAGCCUGGAGCCCAAACCACCUUUGCUAGAUGCUGCGAUCAAACCUGUUAGCCUCCAUGUAUAUUCCCACCCCCAGCUUUGCCACCAGUUCACCAAGUGAUUCCCUGUGCACCCAUCGAUCCCUUCCUCCAGCAUAUUAACACGCGGGGUCACCUCUGAACGAGAGACAGAAAUCAGACCGAAUGCACUCCCCCUCCUAGGCUUUAACAGCCUCAGGCUGCUACUUCGGAGUCCAUCGCGAUGUCACCUCCUGCAGCUCUAGCGCACACCUCAGCUCCAGCAUCCAGGCACUAAGCAAAGCAAUUGUAAAGCCCAGCAGAAAGACUCGGGAGCAACUCAUCUAACUUGUCAAGGUUGGGAAGAGAGGGCUCAUUGGAGUUACUCAUUAUGGAGUCAGGAGCUAGCAAAGGAGACUCAAGGCAGUUUUAUCCACAUCUCCAAGGAGCAAAGCCUGGUUUGCAGAACAGAAGAGGCUGUGAUGGCAAGCUUUUCAAUGGCUUAUUUCAUUGGGAAUUACUCUGGUUCCAGACCCAGGGCUUCCAGAAACAGAUUUGAGUAUUAAAUAAACGAGAUCAACCAAUCUCUACUGAAUAGCACUGAAUAUGAAAGUUCCUUUUUCACCAAGUUUAAG